GACCGCGUAGCUCAGUUGGCAGAGCAUUGGGCUAGUAUUCCAAAGGUCGUAGGUUCGAUUCCCACCGCGGCCG
rnacentral:tRNA from 1 species